UUCAUUUUUUAUUUUUUCUCGCAUCUUCUCUCAAUCCUAACCCUAGCAUGAAGAGUUCUUCCAAAAUGAGAGAGAACCUUUGAAAAAUUGAAAUUAGAGAGAGGACCUGAUGCACCGAAACACAGUUUCAUUUAUUCUCCUCCAAAACAGUGCAACAGCAGUAGUCAACCAUGCAAAUGACAAAUUUAUCCUUUAUGAUAUUAACAAUAGUUGGGCCCACCUUGUGUCAAAGUGUAAAUUACUUUAACCGUGACUAACGAUUGUUUCCCUUCUGAAACUGAGUCAGCUGAUACUUCAUGAUGUCCGCGGAAACGUUAGCAUAUCGGAACGGCGUUGUAAAAGUGAACGCCGAUAGCCAAUUUCUCAUCCUUCGCCACCGCCAAUGUAAAAGUGCGGGAGAGAGAGCGCCGGCGACGGAAGAAGAAGAAACACAAUAUCAAGGCCUGAAGGAGCAUGGCCAAAGACGGUGGCAACGGGAAGCGGAAUACCUAUCCGCAGCAGGUUGUAUACCAAGUUGAAAUUCAGGACAGGGAAGAGCCAAAUGAUAUAGCUUGGAGGAAGAAAUCUUAAAAAAUGUUCGGGAACAUUAGUUUUCGCGAUAUUAUAUGUUCAGAGUAUAUUGAUAAGAAGCACGAGUCUAUUCAAAAUGCAACUACCAAUAAGAAAGCAGACUCUGAUUCUGAAGAGGAAGGAAGAGAUCUUGAGAAAAACGACAGGCAUCUCAAACAAGAAGAGAGGGUUUUCUUCUGUUUUCUCAUGCACGCUUAUAUUGAGAAGGAAGAGAGUAAAAUGUUGAAACAUAAGCAAAAGGAAUGCAUGCAACCAAAAAUGCAGUAAAUGGAAUUUGAUUAUCAGGUAUGAAAAUGCUAGGGAGGAAGAGAAGUUACGAAGGAAGCCUGAGGAUUUCAUCGACGUGGUUGCGGAGCUGUUACAUUUGAUUUUCAUAUCAUACAAACCUACCAUAUUGUCAUUAUUAUUAAUAACUUAGGCCUUGAUUUUUAUAUUUAAUUAUGUAAACAAGCGGUGCAGAAUGAGAAUAGGACUAGAAGAGAAAGAUGCAAGAAAAAGGAGGGAAAGUCCAGGAAGACAUUAAGUUCUAAAGUUGGUGUAACAUCUUUUUUCUUUUGCAGAAAAAAAAUGGGGGACCUGGAUGUUACACACUCAUCAAAUUGUCAUUUUCCAUUUAGCGAGGAUUAGUUGUUAGCUGUGUUGUAUGGUACUUCUAUCACAUGUAAUUGUCAGCAAGUAGCUUUCAUUGUAUAAGUUAGGAAUUUAUAUAUCGUAUAAUUAACAUCUUAUGCAGCGCUGAUGUUUAUUUGGAAACACAAUUGCAAUUAAUCAUUAUUAAGGUUGGUUGGUAUUCUGUUUACGAGGCUGAUAUUUAGAUGAUCCCCCGUGAUAGUUCUUAGUAUGACAUCGAUGCCUGAUAGUGCAAACAGGAUAGUGAAAGUAUACUGACUUGUUAUUCUGAAUCCCUUGUUUCUAUUUAUCUAUCCAAAAAUUGAAACUUAAGCUUAUUUUGUUGGUCAGUGUUUUAUUUUUUUGGGUAGUGUUGGGGGUUGUUGAGAUAGUGGUUGCUGUGGGUUUAUGGAGGAUGCAGGUAGUCUUAUGAGAUAGUGUCUUUUUUGCCAUUACA